UGUCGUGAAUAUUUUCGUUAUCUUUCAGGUUUAUAUCUGGGGUACUCAUGUCUAUUCAACUAUUGAUUGAUUUGUAAAGCAGGAUGUAUUUAGAAGUUUGUGUUUUGGCUGGAAAAUUUACUUACAACCUAGUGAGAGGAGAAACAUGCAGUACAGACAAUGGUCCGGUAGAGUGUUCAACCGCCGAAUACUGUUGUUCUCCAGAUGAUGUCAAUGUUUGUUGCACAUAUUUCUCCACUUGGAUAGUGGUAUUGAUGGUGCUAGGCGUGGUGUUCUUCGUGUUAAUCACUGCGAGUAUCGUGUGUGAGGCAUCCAAACUCCACAACAAACCUUUAGUUACAGUGCAUCCAUCCGGUGUCACCUAGAUCUAGCUAUACAUCAGUCUGCCUGUGUAUGCAUGUUAAUUGGAUAUUGAGAUUGUUUAAUAAACUUAAAACAUGUA